AACUCAUUCAGUAUAUCUGCUUACCAGGAUGUGUUAGCAGAAAUUUAGAAAAAGCUGGCAAUAGCUCAGUCAUGUUAGGAGCCUAACAGGCACUGAGGUCAUAAGGUCCCUGAAAAUGGCUACAAGA